GACGAACGCUGGCGGCGUGCCUCAAACAUGCAAGUCGAGCGGGGAACUUUUAAAAGCGCAAGCUUUUAUAAGUUCCUAGCGGCGAACGGGUGAGUAACACGUGGGCAACCUACCCAGAAGACCGGGAUAACGGCUCGAAAGGGCCGCUAAUACCGGAUAAUGUCGGGGUACCGCAUGGUACUCCGAAGAAAGGGGAAACCCGCUUUUGGAUGGGCCCGCGUCCCAUCAGCUAGUUGGUGAGGUAACGGCUCACCAAGGCGACGACGGGUAGCCGGUCUGAGAGGAUGGUCGGCCACACUGGGACUGAGACACGGCCCAGACUCCUACGGGAGGCAGCAGUUGGGAAUCUUGGGCAAUGGGCGAAAGCCUGACCCAGCGACGCCGCGUGAGGGAAGAAGGCCUUCGGGUCGUAAACCUCUGUCAUGGGGGAAGAAGCAAGUGACGGUACCCAAGAGGAAGCCCCUGCUAACUACGUG
rnacentral:rRNA from 1 species